AUAUGAUGUGUGAUCAAUAUAUAACCAGACUGGCUUUAAAUACAACUUUAUUAUUAAAAUUACAUUUUGGGCUCCAUCUUCUUCAAAAAAGUCUUCUCUUACAUCAAUACAGUAAAUUUAGCAUUUCUGCCAUGCUGCAAAAGCCUUCCAUAAAGUCUUCUUUCUUUAGCUGGUCAGCAUUGCCUAUGAUUCAAUUUCAAUCUUUUCUGCUGUCUCAAACAUCACCCCUUGAGCUACAACUUCAAUUUUGGAAAUAAAAAAAAUUCUUAGGGAGUUAAUUCUGGUGAAUAGGGAGGGUUAGAAUGACAGUCAUGUUGAAUGUCAAAAGUUCAUAAAUUCUAAUCAAUGAAUGCACCAAUGUGUUGUCAUGGUGGAGAAGCCAGUUUUGCAUGCACCACAAGUAAAACUGGCUCCAAAUGACAUUCCAACAAUGUCACAAACUUCUCUGAUUGUUAAUCAUUGAUUUUCACAAAUAAUU
rnacentral:lncRNA from 1 species